GGAACAGAUUGGCCACAUACGGCUGCAGUUCCGUCUCAAUGGCCUGCAAAGCGGAGGAGUAGGAUCAGAUCUCGCUGCUUGCAGUCGCUCUCGUUGUAGUGGAAUAUCACCGUGCACGUCUGGUAGAUGACCUGGUUGCGCUGGAUGGUGCCUGAACAAGAUGCCGAAUUGGUGAUAGGUUCUAGGUGGCGGAUUCGGAGGACUGGGGCGCUGAGGCACUGGGGCGGGUAACUCACCCGAUAGCGUGUGCGAGAAGAGCAGCAUGAACACAACCGGUUCGAUGUAAAACAUAUGAAACACCUUUUCCCAUUGCAGAUUUCGGAGCUUUUCCAGUGUAAACGCAUUGGACGCCUUCUCGACCAUGGCUAUUUUGUUGGUGGACAAGUUCUUGAAUAUCUAGCUUCAAAUUGCCGAACUUGUUGGCUUCUCCUCCUCCUCCUUCUCCUCCUCCUCACUGGCUCAUUGCAACACCUGUCACGUAACCGUAGUCGGAACACCCCGUAGAGAAAACACCCUGGCGCCCAGCUCUGCCGAUCAGAUUUAUGGGUUACUAAUGCCAGAUUCGAUUAUAAUUCAAGCGUUUGAUUGCCACAGCAGUCGGAAACACGAAACCGAAAUCCACUUCCAAUCCGACGGCGACGAUACAAAUAGAGUUUCGUUCUCGAAAUGAGCGGCUACCGCGAAAUCCGUGCGCUUUUAUAGCGGGUCUCUCGGCGGCGGAGGAAGCGGCAACACAUGAGCACACACCAGGUAAACAACAGUCGCGCUGGCGAACAGUUGUUCAUCUAGAGCCGCAUCAGUUGGAUUCACGUGAAAUUGCAUUCCCCGGCGGAAAAUAUGGGCAAAUAUGCCGCACUCCCGUUUGUCCAGAUUCGAUUCCAAGCCCAUAGAACUGCAUUUCGACGCCGGACCGGCUAAAUUGGAUCCGGAGCCCUACCUUACCAGCUCAACUCACCGAAAGUUGGGUAGGGGAAACGUGAGAAGCGUAGUUUGGAUGCUUCGUUUGAUUUCAUCUUUGAAUUGUGCAAAUGAGUAGCACGAGCCAGAGCCAUGGGCGUCCGAAAAGUGGUUAGUGGUUCCACCGACCGAUGGCAAAAAUAACCGAUGGGAAUAACGGAUGAAGUAAAUGUGUAUGUGCGCACUUUUUGUACCACAA